rnacentral:rRNA from 1 species
CCUACGGGUGGCAGCAGUGAGGAAUAUUGGUCAAUGGCCGGAAGGCUGAACCAGCCAAGCCGCGUGAAGGACGAAGGUUCUAAGCAUUGUAAACUUCUUUUGUCAAGGGACAAAAUCAGGCUCGAGAGCCUGACCGAGGGUACUUUAAGAAAAAGCAUCGGCUAACACCGUGCCAGCAGCCGCGGUAAUACUGAGGAUGCGGGCGUUAUCCGGAUUUAUUGGGUUUAAAGGGUGCGUAGGCGGACUGUUAAGUCAGCGGUAAAAGCCCGGGGCUCAACCCCGGCGUGCAGUUGAAACUGGCUGUCUUGAGAUGUCGAGAGGUAUGCGGAAUGCGCAGUGUAGCGGUGAAAUGCUGAGAUAGUGGGAAGAACACCGAUGGCGAAGGCAGCAUACCGGCGGCGAUCUGACGCUGAGGCACGAAAGCGUGGGUAUCGAACAGGAUUAGAUACCCGAGUAGUC